CCUACGGGUGGCAGCAGUGGGGAAUAUUGCACAAUGGGGGAAACCCUGAUGCAGCGACGCCGCGUGAGUGAAGAAGUAUUUCGGUACGUAAAGCUCUAUCAGCAGGGAAGAAAAUGACGGUACCUGACUAAGAAGCCCCGGCUAACUACGUGCCAGCAGCCGCGGUAAUACGUAGGGGGCAAGCGUUAUCCGGAUUUACUGUGUGUAAAGGGAGCGUAGACGGCAGCGCAAGUCUGGAGUGAAAUCCCAUGGCUUAACCAUGGAACUGCUUUGGAAACUGUGCAGCUAGAGUGCAGGAGAGGUAAGCGGAAUUCCUAGUGUAGCGGUGAAAUGCGUAGAUAUUAGGAGGAACACCAGUGGCGAAGGCGGCUUACUGGACUGUAACUGACGUUGAGGCUCGAAAGCGUGGGGAGCAAACAGGAUUAGAUACCCCAGUAGUC
rnacentral:rRNA from 1 species